rnacentral:rRNA from 1 species
GCUUAACACAUGCAAGUCGAACGGUUGUAGCAAUACAGCAGUGGCAGACGGGUGAGUAACACGUGGGAACCUACCUAGGGGUACGGAAUAACUCAGGGAAACUUGUGCUAAUACCGUAUACGACCUCAGGGUGAAAGAUUUAUCGCCCCUAGAUGGGCCCGCGUUGGAUUAGCUAGUUGGUGAGGUAAAAGCUCACCAAGGCGACGAUCCAUAGCUGGUCUGAGAGGAUGAUCAGCCACACUGGGACUGAGACACGGCCCAGACUCCUACGGGAGGCAGCAGUAGGGAAUCUUGGACAAUGGGCGAAAGCCUGAUCCAGCCAUGCCGCGUGUGUGAUGAAGGCCUUAGGGUUGUAAAGCACUUUCGCCAGGGAAGAUAAUGACGGUACCUGGAUAAGAAGCCCCGGCUAACUUCGUGCCAGCAGCCGCGGUAAUAC